UGCCAGUGAUAAACUGGAGGAAGGUGGGGAUGACGUCAAGUCAUCAUGGCCCUUACGACCAGGGCUACACACGUGCUACAAUGGCAUAUACAAAGAGAAGCGACCUCGCGAGAGCAAGCGGACCUCAUAAAGUAUGUCGUAGUCCGGAUUGGAGUCUGCAACUCGACUCCAUGAAGUCGGAAUCGCUAGUAAUCGUAGAUCAGAAUGCUACGGUGAAUACGUUCCCGGGCCUUGUACACACCGCCCGUCACACCAUGGGAGUGGGUUGCAAAAGAAGUAGGUAGCUUAACCUUCGG
rnacentral:rRNA from 1 species